UAGUAAUGAAGUAGGCAGGCAUACAGGUUAAAAUUGAUCAGAUUUGUGAACUGGAAGACUACGCCUUCACCACGCCCCUGUGUGACCUCAUUCCCCUACCUGGCCAUACCUGGGUGCCCACCAGCCAGUCAGAUUAAUUAACCACUCCCCUUUGGAGUGGUUUAAAAGCGGGGACACUGUGUGGGCCGGUGGUCUGCUCUUCUUCCCUGGCCUCUUGUCAGGAGGGGGCUUGCUGUAGCCUCGUGCCUUCAGGGCCAUGUGCUCUAGGCUUCCUGGCCUAGAUGCUCUUCCACUUGGCUGGUUCCUGGUGCUUGGUAUGAACCCCUAGUUAUCUCUCACUCUCUUAUGCACCUUUCUUACUAAAUAAAACCCUAAAAGGUACCAUGCUGCCUCGUUUAUCUGUGCCGGUAUUUAGAAUUCUUCUCUAAAUAUUAGGCAAGAACCCUCUUGGGCUUAUUAACAUUGGGGAUUUAGUAAUAAGCCCGUGGUGAAAUCGUAAGGCACCCCAAAUUCCGGUAGCGCAUGUGGCACCCCGGAUAACAUUUCUAUGGAACUUUAAAGGGCCACAUUUUAGUGUAGAUUUUAGGGGGUCUGGUCCGAUUUCAGUAACACUACAGUCACCUGUAUGAAAAAAGAUAAUGUGGAAUACUAAUUUGCAAUUAAAAGUGAAUUAAUUCUUCCAUCCCUUCCAAAACAAAAAGCAAAAUAACAACAUUAAGAAGUAACACAUACUCAGUCACAUGGUCAAGGUUGAGCUUAGAACAGGGAUUAGACAACAGAGGCCAGAGUAUGAGUUUCAAUUUUGAUAGUUCUGUUUUUCUCAGUUAAGUAGGGAUAAGAAUACUUGCCAUCAUUCUUGGUCAAGUUACCCUGUAAGAGCACCUAAUGCUACCAGAGCGCUCCAAGGCUCAUAGCUCUGAUUGCCAUGCUGUUUCCCUUUGCCUUCAUGAAGAUUCUUGUUCCCAUGCUGCCCCCUUAGCUCAUCUGCUUGUAAAUUCAACUCUUGUUGCAC
rnacentral:lncRNA from 1 species